UACGUAGGCAGCAAGCGUUGUUCGGAGUUACUGGGCGUAAAGGGUGCGUAGGCGGGUCUUUAAGUCAGGGGUGAAAUCCUGGAGCUCAACUCCAGAACUGCCUUUGAUACUGAAAAUCUUGAGUCCGGGAGAGGUGAGUGGAACUGCGAGUGUAGAGGUGAAAUUCGUAGAUAUUCGCAAGAACACCAGUGGCGAAGGCGGCUCACUGGCCCGGUACUGACGCUGAGGCACGAAAGCGUGGGGAGCAAACAGG
rnacentral:rRNA from 1 species